rnacentral:tRNA from 1 species
GCAUGUGUUACUUCUUAUUAUAUACAUUAAAUAACCUUGCCAAGGUUGGGGUCGCGGGUUCGAUCCCCGUCUCGCGCU